AGGACUAACGCUGGCGGCGUGCCUAACACAUGCAAGUCGAGCGGACACCACUUUGUAGCAAUACAGAUGAAGUGUUAGCGGCAGACGGGUGAGUAACACGUAGUCAACCUACCUUACCGUCCGGGAUAACUAGCCGAAAGGUUAGCUAAUACCUGAUACGAUCAUCUGCGGCCCAUUAGCUAGUUGGUGAGGUAACGGCCCACCAAGGCAACGAUGGGUAGCUGGUCUGAGAGGACGACCAGCCACACUGGGACUGAGACACGGCCCAGACUCCUACGGGAGGCAGCAGUGAGGAAUUUUCCGCAAUGGGCGAAAGCCUGACGGAGCGACGCCGCGUGCACGAGGAAGGUCUUCGGAUCGUAAAGUGCUGUCGAGGGGGACGAUUAUGACGGUACCCCUGGAGGAAGCCCCGGCUAACUACGUGCCAGCAGCCGC
rnacentral:rRNA from 1 species